UACGUAGGGGGCAAGCGUUAUCCGGAUUUACUGGGUGUAAAGGGAGCGUAGACGGCAGUGCAAGUCUGAAGUGAAAGCCCCGGGCUUAACCCGGGAACUGCUUUGGAGACUGUACGGCUGGAGUGCUGGAGAGGUAAGCGGAAUUCCUAGUGUAGCGGUGAAAUGCGUAGAUAUUAGGAGGAACACCAGUGGCGAAGGCGGCUUACUGGACAGUAACUGACGUUGAGGCUCGAAAGCGUGGGGAGCAAACAGG
rnacentral:rRNA from 1 species